CGUAAAACAUUUACUUUGCAAAGACAUUUCUCAUAUAUUCAAGUACCCCUAAUUAAAUACUAUUUGGAGAACAUUAAAAUACACACUUCACUGAUCUUUAGUGUUUUAGGUAUAAUUACAGGGAUGGAUAUUCUACUCCAUGCUCCUCAUCCUAUUUGGUAAAAGGGAAGGUGAUGAAAGAGAUGGAAGACAUUAUUGCGUUUUUCCAGGAACUUGCACUAUUGUGGAAUGGAAUAAAGCAAAGGAUGGGGAAUAGAGGGACUUGAAAACAGAAGCAUGUGAAUUUUAUAUGAGAUUUUUCAUGCAUAUGUAUAUCAUGGAAAGAGUGGCCCAGAAAUCUUGGGAGCAGCUAAGAGACUUGGGAGUGGUGUUGAAUGGAUGCUGGCUGUUGCAGCCCUCCCUUGGUACUGUGUGGUGUUGCGGUGUUGGCAGAAUUGCUGGGAGUUUGGAGUAAAGAAACAGACAACUAUAGGGCAUGUGUGGAGUGUAUGUAUUGCAGACCAAAACAUCAUCCCUUGCAUAGGCCCUGUGACCUAUUUCUAAGUUAGAGUAAAUUUAACAUGAUGGAUAAGAACCUUAUGGUCAGACAAAAUUCUGAAUCUCAGCCCUUCCAUUAUUAGCUACUUGGCCACGUGGAAUUCCAACUUCUCUGAGUUUCAGCUUCUUUGCCUAUAAAUUGGGGAUAAUAAUGGCGCCUACCCCACAGUGUUGUUGUGAGUAAAUGAGUUACACACUGAGCACAGUGCUUGACUUAAGCAGAUACUCAAUGGUGUGACCUUAAACAUGAGUAAAGGUAAAUUUGCACUAUACGUGAUUUUCCAGGAAAUAGAGAGCACUGUUUACCAAAAAGAAACAAAAAUGGCAUUUUUUAAACCAAAAUUAGGUAAUCCUACUGCGACACAUAGGUUCCAUUGCCUUUAUGUCAUCUUCAAACAUGGCAGCAUGGCUUCAACAUAAACAGAACAUCAGUGUGACACAGCUUGGAAAGUUGAUGACCUUGAAAAGAGGCGUACAUCUCUCCUCUGAUUCUAAGUUAAAUAUUAAUGUUUAUUUUAUAUCAGGCGGGCAUUUCAAAGUCUGCUUUCUAUAUUCCCUGUUUAUGACUUGAGAGGCUAUCCAAAAAUACGUUAUAAAAUAAAAACAUAAAAUUCCACACUCUCUGCCUAUUUUAAUAUUCUAAUCUCACUCUGUUUUUGUUUUUUGACACUGAGAUACGAUUAAGAGCAGACUAUUUCUGACGCUAUGUUGGUUUCUGAAAAACAUUUUUUUCUCCUAUCUUUAAAACACUAGCAGAACGUUAAAAUUCAGGGAAGCACCUUGUCGGAAUAUUGAUUUAUUCAUGUAGAAAUCACAGCUUAAAGUGAAGAGCAGUUGGUUAACUUGUGGCAAAUCUCAACCUCUGACUACAUUCCAGAGUAUCUGCAGCUUAGAGAAUAAGAAAAGUUGACUAGAGAUAGUUUCAAAUUUUCCUUUUUGUCCUCAUCUAGAAUUGUACGUGGGGCCUUUCGCUUCACUCAUAAAUGUUUCUGUCUGUAUUCUAGUGUUAUCCAGGGCCCAGAAAUUUAUUCUUGCAUAUAACAUAGUUAUAGUUCACAUGAAAAGAGAAAUAUUGAUGUAGAAGGCUUUCAGAAGGGAUGCUGGAAGCAGGGUUCCAUUCGAGGACAAACCAGGUCACAGAGGAGAGUGAAAAUCACCUGGUGACCAUUGAAAAGGCCCCGGAGACAAAAACUCCUUAUUUGAGGAAUUUAGAAGAGAGUACGGGUCACCCGGUGACUAUUAAACAGGCCCUCCGGAGGCACAACUCCUUAUCUGGGAAAAUUAGAAGUAAUUAGACUUUCCUAAUAUCCAAAGUUGGCCUCUGGUUCCAGGCCUUUUUCAAUCUUUCUAAGUAAUUAAAAUUUCUAUACAUCUCUUUAUAUAGAAAUGGAAAUUUAGGAGAAUGGUCAGUGCCAUAGUUCCCAUUGCAGUACAUUUAGGGAACCAUACAUUUUUGGUAGCUUUCUCAUUCUUUAAAAAUUUUUAAAUUUGGGGCAAUUCUUCACAGCUCAGUAUCUUAUAUCAGUAAUGCCAUUCCAAAACUCAUUUUACAACCCUUGCUGACAUUAACACACCAAAAUGUCUACAAACUUGAUCAUUUAUCAUGAUCUAUGUGACUAAUACGGUCCAAAUUACCCUUAAGCUCCCGCCUUAAGGUCCAUGAAUACCCCUAAGGAAAAACCCACAGCAGUGCACUCAGUCCUCUCACUGCGGUGCACUGCUGCACUCUUCUGCAGUGUUCUUUCUUUCCAAUAAACUUUUCCUUUUCAAACCUAUGCUGUUGUUGGUAAAUUCUUUUUACCAACACGUGAGUUGAGCACUUCCUGAUGCCAGGGCUCUGACACUUCGCCCGACAGUCACCUCUGACAACAGUGCCCUAUAAGCAUUUUAAAGUUGUGAGUAGAUAGCUUGACUUGAGCUGGGUUUGUGUGCCCCGGGUUCUCCCACUGUGCAAUGUCCUGCUCUUUUUCAAGCCAGAAGUCUGCCAGCUCCUGAAGCCCAGGAGCAAGGCGCCCCAGUGAGUACUUUGCCAUCUCUUGUUCACAAUCUUGCUGUGGCCCGUCCCAGGGGGAAAAUAAUUGCAUAUGAUUAAUGAUUUGAGAGACAUUUAAAGUAGAGCAAAAAGUAAGAAGAGUGGAGAUAUGGUUGGCAGGGUGACAGCCAGUGCCGGAAGUUGUUUUGCAUAAAGUAGGCUGACAGGGAAUUAUUCCAUCAGCUUUCGAAAAAAGCUUAGGGGUCAUUCUACUUUGCCUUCGGGCACUUGAAAUCUGGGAAGGAUGGAAGGAAGUGGUGACAAAGAUACUGAGAUGUUCACUAGCCCUGCAGUGAGAGUGAAAAUACUCCUAAACUUUUUAAACGGUUCUGUAAACAAUGGAUUGUUUUCCCCCCAUAAAAUAGUGAAAGUGAAUAGCUACUCGAUGUAUCCGAUUGUUUAUUUUAGGAAUUCAUUUGGCAUUGGACAGACCUAUGCUUGAAAAAUAACUUUUAAAUUUCAAACACAUAGGUAUAUAAUUUAUUUUACAUUUUUUCAAUAAUAUUUAACAUAUGUGGAAAUGAGGCUCAGAGAGUUGAUGUGACUUGGACUCCGAGUUCUAUGCUCAUUUGAUCCAUGCCAUACUUUCUCCUAAGAGCUAAUUACUGUGAUGUGCAAAAGUGCUAAGAUGCUUUCCUCACUUAUAAGAAGCUUAUGUUCUACCUAUCGAGACAACGAAACAGGUAAACAAGGCAUCUUUUUAUCUAACAGCAUUGUGUGGGUAUGCACCUACACUUAGAGAAUAAACGUGUGUUAUGAGGUGCCAGUUGUACGGUGGACGAUAGACAACAUAGUGCCCAGGUCAAGAAUCAAGG
rnacentral:lncRNA from 1 species